CCCUACGGGGCGCAGCAGUGGGGGAUAUUGCACAAUGGGGGAAACCCUGAUGCAGCGACGCCGCGUGAGUGAAGAAGUAUUUCGGUAUGUAAGGCUCUAUCGGCAGGGAAGAAAAAAAUGACAGUACCUGACUAAGAAGCCCCGGCUAACUACGUGCCAGCAGCCGCGGUAAUACGUAGGGGGCAAGCGUUAUCCGGAUUUACUGGGGGUAAAGGGAGCGUAGACGGCCGUGCAAGUCUGAUGUGAAAACCCGGGGCUCAACCCCGGGACUGCAUUGGAAACUGCAUGGCUGGAGUGUCGGAGAG
rnacentral:rRNA from 1 species